GAAUUAUUCAAAGAUGGCGGACGGUUGCGCUAGAAAGAGGACUUAAAAAUAGUCCUGUGUGUCACAGUUGGAGCUGAAAGGAAAGCGGAGAUCUGUCCUCGCAGACGGACGCCACUUUACCCGUCCUACUGGUUCCUGGUGUGGCUCAACAUCUGUUGCUCCCAGCAGUCCCCUUCUCUGAUGCACAGAUUGUGCAGAACUGAACUGCAGGCAAUGAUUUUCAUUGCAAAGAGCAUGCCUUGGCGUGGUGCUGGUUGUAACGGGCCUGAACCG